rnacentral:rRNA from 1 species
GAUGAACGCUGGCGGCGUGCCUAAUACAUGCAAGUCGAGCGAACAGACGAGGAGCUUGCUCCUCUGACGUUAGCGGCGGACGGGUGAGUAACACGUGGAUAACCUACCUAUAAGACUGGGAUAACUUCGGGAAACCGGAGCUAAUACCGGAUAACAUGUUGAACCGCAUGGUUCAACAGUGAAAGACGGUCUUGCUGUCACUUAUAGAUGGAUCCGCGCCGCAUUAGCUAGUUGGUAAGGUAACGGCUUACCAAGGCAACGAUGCGUAGCCGACCUGAGAGGGUGAUGGGCCACACUGGAACUGAGCCACGGCCCAGACUCCUACGGGAGGCAGCAGUAGGGAAUCUUCCGCAAUGGGCGAAAUCCUGACGGAGCAACGCCGCGUGGGUGAAGAAGGUCUUCGGAUCGUAAAACUCUGUUAUUAGGGAAGAACAAUUGUGUAAGUAACUAUGCACGUCUUGACGGUACCUAAUCAGAAAGCCACGGCUAACUACGUG